UUUUUUUUUUUUCUUUUUUUUUUUUCUUUCAAACACUUGUGGCUUCUAAAU
rnacentral:ribozyme from 1 species